GCCAGGCGCGGUGGCGCGUGCCUCUAGUCCCAGCUACUCGGGAGGAUGAGGUGGGAGGAUCGCUUGAGCCCCAGAAUUCUGGGCUGUAGUUCAGCUAUGCUGAUCGGGUGUCCGCACUAAGUUCGGCAUCAAUAUGGUGACCUUCCGGGAGCGGGGGACCAACAGGUUGCCUAAGGAGGGGUGAACUAGCCCAGGUUGGAAAACGAGCAGGUCAAAACUCCCGUGCUCAUCAGUAGUGGGAUCGCCUCUGUGAACAACCACUGCAUUCCAGUCUGGGCAACAUAGCGAGACCCCAUCUCU
rnacentral:SRP_RNA from 1 species